GAUGAACGCUGGCGGCGUGCCUAAUACAUGCAAGUCGAGCGAAUGGAUUAAGAGCUUGCUCUUAUGAAGUUAGCGGCGGACGGGUGAGUAACACGUGGGUAACCUGCCCAUAAGACUGGGAUAACUCCGGGAAACCGGGGCUAAUACCGGAUAACAUUUUGAACCGCAUGGUCCGAAAUUGAAAGGCGGCUUCGGCUGUCACUUAUGGAUGGACCCGCGCCGCAUUAGCUAGUUGGUGAGGUAACGGCUCACAAAGGCAACGACGCGUAGCCGACCUGAGAGGGUGAUCGGCCACACUGGGACUGAGACACGGCCCAGACUCCUACGGGAGGCAGCAGUAGGGAAUCUUCCGCAAUGGACGAAAGUCUGACGGAGCAACGCCGCGUGAGUGAUGAAGGCUUUCGGGUCGUAAAACUCUGUUGUUAGGGAAGAACAAGUGCUAGUUGAAUAAGCUGGCACCUUGACGGUACCUAACCAGAAAGCCACGGCUAACUACGUGCCAGCCGCCGCGGUAA
rnacentral:rRNA from 1 species